rnacentral:lncRNA from 10 species
CUCACUCACUGGCUGAGCUCUCUGCCAGCCUCAGCCUUUCUAUUGGCCUCCUGUCAGUACUCCCAUCUCUGUGAGACCCAUGAGUAAUACAUUUUGUCUGCUUCAUGCAUUUUGAUUUUACUUUCUCAUUGUGUCUCAUGUGACACACGCUCUGAACCUAAAUCUCUCAACAGAGCUCUCUUAUGUAGUGCCGAUCUUAGCUUAUGGUUGUCUUCAAGAGAAUGCUCCAUAUAUCCUCAGAAAUUGCUUCACGGAAGGUCAUCAUCUUCAGUUGAAAUGCCAUACUCAAAGAAGACUUUCCACAAGAUCAUGAAGAAACAUCUAAAAAAGAAUGGCAGCACUCAGACCGUGUGUUUCAAGGUCCACGCUAGCACAGAUUAAUGAACCCUAGAAUUACAUAAUAAAAGAGAGAGAUCCUCAGAGAUACCCUGAUUUUCGUCUUUUAUUUGAUGAGAAAGGAGUUGAAAGCCCAGGUAGUUAAGUGCACUUUCUGACGUCACUCAGCCUGUCUGUAAAAAGGUGUUCCAAAUUAUUGCCUGGUCUCUGUCCUCUCAACAUACAGCUUUUCAAAAGCCAUAUUCUAUGAUUCUCAACAGAUUAGAAAUCUGUUGAGACUUGCCAAAUCUGUAUGACUUGCCAAAAAUAGGAACAGGUGAAAAUAUUCUAAAAAUGCUCUCAUUAAUAAAGUUAAUUAACUAUAAUGCUCUGGACCUUCAGAGUUUUAAAGCUAGAAAACUGCUUUUUAAAAAAAUUUCUGAGCAGUUUCUGCCUUCUGGUUCAUAGAUUGGCAUUUUACUUUAAGGAGGAGAGUCUUUUUGUUCUGCAAAGUCUGGAUUGGUCCCUUUUGGCUGUGACAAUUUAAGGAUGUUAAAUUUGUUAGGAGCCUGAUGCUUAUAAACUAUCAGGGCAUAGGGUAAGUGGACCUCCAGCCCAGUGUUCUUAUUUCCUUUCACAUACUUGGGAGCAAUGAGCUCUUGUAGGGUCAGAGUGAUGGUGACAGUGAUGUCAUCCACUUGUGGUUAAAAGUUGUCGGGACAUGUCUGAGGGCCCUAGAGGAAAGACGCCCUAAGGGAAAGUGGAGUCUGAAUUUGGACUUCCAUCUCAGGCAAGUAGAAACUGGAUCUUUGCACUUCUGUCUUGCUGGUGCCGGACCCCAGGUUUUUCAGCCACCUCUUUGUGGUGUUUGGACAUGUCCCAGAGAAAAUGCUGUAUGCAAGUGUGCUGAAGUCGCCUGUGAGCACCAAACAUGGUGGAACUGAUUCCUGUCGCUUUGCUGUGGGGUGCUCUUGACCGAACAUGAACUUGAAAGGAACAUGAUCUACUGAGUGAACGGUCAGCAUCUGCAGCAGUGGUCAAAGAACAGGGAGGUCUUGUCAGCAAGACCCAUUAGCUGGCCAGACCCUGUCUAAGGAAAACACAGGACAUCAUGGCUCUCCUGGCACCAGAGCCCACAGUCAGCGUCCUGAGAGUGCUAGAAGUGAUUGAGGAAGCCAGCGCUGGGCUUGCUGAGUCAGCAAUGUAGGAGUUCUCCACCAGCCCACUUCACUGAGAGCCUUCAAUUGGU